UGGAGAAGGGUACCUAAGUAAUAUAAAAUAAAGUGUAAAUAUAAAAUAUAAAUAUAUUAAUUUCUUUUUCAUUUUAUACAUGCCAAAGUUUCAUAUUUAAAUAAAACUCCCUCUUCUUACUUCUCUCUCUGUUGGUUCAUAUUGCUUAUCAUGGCGUUCUUUAGAAUUUUGAUCCAGAUCGAGUGUUGUGUAUGUCUACUAAAUUCAUUUGAUGAUUAUCUAAGCCUCAAACUCCAUAUGUUUAUAACGAGACUAUAUACAUCCUCUAACAGCCAUUUGGAUUUCAAUCUCCAACAACAAUCUUUGGGCUACUUCGUUGAAAUCACAAGGUAACCAAUUUAAACAGAGCACGUCUAGUGUAUGGAAUUUGUCAAGAAUUGUCUCCAUAGAAAUUAUGUUUACCAAGUUUAUGAAUAAAGAUGAAGAAUAAAAAGGAGUAAUGAUGAGGUUUGUAACAAUGGAAAUGGAAAGGAGCAAAAGAUGGAAGAUAAAGCUGGCCUAAUUGUUACGAUGCUUCACUCAGAAGAGUUGGGAGCUUGUAAAGAUGAGAAGGAGGUUAAAGCGUCAAGAAUUGAAAACCUCGAUUGGGGCGAGUAAUGACUAAUUAAACGGACAUUGUUUGUUAUUUCAUGAUUAAACGGUGCACUUUUACCAUUCCUACAGGUGUACAAAAAGUUAAAUAUAUGGUGUCCCUUAUAAGCAUUUACUUAGAGUAUUUUGGAUUUAGAUUAUUUCAAAAAGGAUGGGUUGUAAUCUUCUCUUAAGAUCCUAUAUGUGAAAAACAAUCUCAAAAACACUAAGACCUCUAUUUAGAUU